CUAAAAACCUAGCCCAAUAACUUACCCGUAAUACCAGGCCACAAACCAAAAUAUUUUAACAAUUUAGUACAGAGGAUUAAAAAAUAUAUUAGAGCUAUAAAUAUGUACCGCAAGAAAAAGAGAGUAAAAAA
rnacentral:rRNA from 1 species